CCAGGUCUCUCUGAGGGCCCAGUCAGCCCUGGACCCUCCAUCUCCCAGCGCGGAGCUCAGCAUGAGGAGGCUGUUCAUGUGUCACUGAUCUCCAAACAGAGCUAUCUAGCGUCUGUGUACUAAUGUCAAUUCUACAUGAGCAGCACAGAGACAAACAAAGUGGUUUAAUAUUUUCUCUCCCUCUCUCUCUCCCUCUCCCUCUCUCUCUCCCUCUCUAACGCUCUCUCUCUCUCUCCCUCUCUCUCUCUCUCUCUCUCCCUCCCCCCAGGUCCUACAGGUAAGUCAACGGUUCCCUAACUGCUGAAUGACCAGUGAGACUUUCUAACGAUAAGGCACCUCUAUUCUAACAUCUAACCUGUGCUGGAGCCCCUCAUCAGCCAUGCAGAACACAGAGGGGGAAGAGGUGCUAACGGCUGGUUCUGCUUCAUUCAGCAGGUGUGGGUUUGGGUGUCGGUGUAGGCAUUGGUGCUGGAACUGGGACCGGUGUGGGCAUUGGUACUGGUUCUGGAGCUGGAGCUGGUGUUGGCAUAGGUACUGGAGUUGGGCCUACUGGUGGAGUCGGGCUCGGUAUUGGAAUCGGCGGCGGCGGCUUGUCUCCCGGACCGACAGGAAUAGGUCCUACUGGUGCAGGCGGGCUGCCAAUCACAGGCUACGGUGGCCCGUACUAUGGAGGAGCCGGUUC